CUCCAACCCCUGUGACAUACCACUUGUUGCCUCGGCGGAUCAGCCCGCUCCCGGUAAAACGGGACGGCCCGCCAGAGGACCCCUAAACUCUGUUUCUAUAUGUAACUUCUGAGUAAAACCAUAAAUAAAUCAAAACUUUCAACAACGGAUCUCUUGGUUCUGGCAUCGAUGAAGAACGCAGCAAAAUGCGAUAAGUAAUGUGAAUUGCAGAAUUCAGUGAAUCAUCGAAUCUUUGAACGCACAUUGCGCCCGCCAGUAUUCUGGCGGGCAUGCCUGUUCGAGCGUCAUUUCAACCCUCAAGCCCUCGGGUUGGUGUUGGGGAUCGGCGAGCCCUUGCGGCAAGCCGGCCCCGAAAUCUAGUGGCGGUCUCGCUGCAGCCUCCAUUGCGUAGUAGUAAAACCCUCGCAACUGGAACGCGGCGCGGCCAAGCCGUUAAACCCCCAACUUCUGAAUGUUGACCUCGGAUCAGGUAGGAAUACCCGCUGAACUUAAGCAUAUCAAUAAGCGGAGGA
rnacentral:rRNA from 1 species